UACGUAGGUGGCAAGCGUUAUCCGGAUUUAUUGUGCGUAAAGGGAACGCAGGCGGUCUUUUAAGUCUGAUGUGAAAGCCUUCGGCUUAACCGGAGUAGUGCAUUGGAAACUGGGAGACUUGAGUGCAGAAGAGGAGAGUGGAACUCCAUGUGUAGCGGUGAAAUGCGUAGAUAUAUGGAAGAACACCAGUGGCGAAAGCGGCUCUCUGGUCUGUAACUGACGCUGAGGUUCGAAAGCGUGGGUAGCAAACAGG
rnacentral:rRNA from 1 species